CUGUUAAGGACUCGUUAAGAUAACAGGUGUGACACGACACGACCCGUUAAGAUAACAGGUGUUACACGAAAACGACACGAACACGACUGACACGACCCAUUUGCCAGGCCUAUGUCCGAGUAGACAUGAAGUUGUGCAUAGGGUUUUCUUGACUGUAAUUUCCUAAUGUCAUUUGUUUUGUGUUUGAUAAUCUUAAGAAUUUCACGAUUAUCUUCACUUUGCUUAAAUGCAUAUGGCACAAUUUAUGUGGGAGUCAAUGACUUUUGCACUACAGUAUAUAAUAUACUUGUGUUGGUUUUUGAAUUGGGAUGAAUAUUUCAUUUGGAAAUUUGAUAUAAACGGAAAAAUUGUCUGUGCAAAUUCAUACUCUACACUAAGAGAUAACACCCACCGAACUAAUAAAUAAUACUGAGCCAUCAGAAUUAUAUAUGCAUGAGAGUCUGAGAUAUUUAUUUGAGGCCAACUCGUACAAAAAUUAUUAACGGUUUCUUCCAACGGGUCUUAUUGAUCAAAGAGAAAAGUGCGUGUUACUGAAUCGAGUAACAGCCAUUAAAGGCGAAGUUUCUUCCAUGUUCAAGUGGACCUGUGGGUCGAUGAGGAUAGCCUCAAUACCUAACGAAGGAAUUUCUCUUCAGAGAGACCUGUUUCUGAAAUGGUACAUUUUGGUUGUGGCUUCUUGAGAUGUAUAUGACCGUACUGACACAUUUUUCUGUGCAGACGUAUAUAGCAUAUGUGCAUAUAUGUAUACUUCUUCGCCCUGAUUAUUCUCAUUGAAAUGAAUCUACCAUGCGUAUGAGAUUAAAAGAAAAUUAAUAAAUCGAUAUUUUCUGCAUUUGACUGAAAGAGUAUGAUGUUUCUGACCAUUUACCACCUUGUUAAAUUUUGAAUUGUCAUAUGGGCUGAUGCCCAGAGUGUUUCUUUCAGAGAAAUUCAAUUAUUUCAUGUGAUAAGAGACUUGGGUAUCUCUAUGAGAAGGCAUUUGGUGCUUUAGCCAAUCAGUUUGACUGGUGUUGUUCGUGGUUAGGGGCUGAUAUGGCUUGAUUCAAAAAUUUGCUUUAUCUACAAAUUUGGAAUAGUUACUAUACCAGUUCGUCAAAUGGGUUCCUUUUUAGGAAGGAAUUAAUCUGAAUUGAUUCAUUUAAUCCACUAUGAUGUAGUUCUUUCUUCAAGAAA
rnacentral:lncRNA from 1 species